AGCAUAUCAAUAAGCGGAGGAAAAGAAACCAACAGGGAUUGCCCUAGUAACGGCGAGUGAAGCGGCAACAGCUCAAAUUUGAAAUCUGGCCUUGUGUCCGAGUUGUAAUUUGCAGAGGAUGCUUCUGGUAACGUGCCUUCGGAGUCCCCUGGAACGGGGCGCCAGAGAGGGUGAGAGCCCCGUAUCGUUGUGCACUGCGCCUUUGUGUAGCACCUUCGACGAGUCGAGUAGUUUGGGAAUGCUGCUCAAAAUGGGAGGUAAACUUCUUCUAAAGCUAAAUACCGGCCAGAGACCGAUAGCGCACAAGUAGAGUGAUCGAAAGAUGAAAAGCACUUUGAAAAGAGGGUUAAACAGUACGUGAAACAAUUGAAAAGGAAGCACUUGUGACCAGACUGGUGCCGUUCCAUUCCCUCUGCGUUCUCGUAGGGCUAUUUGGACGGCUUCGGCCAGCAUCGAUUUUCCCAAGGGGACAAAAGCUUGGGGAACGUAGCUCUCUUCGGGGAGUGUUAUAGCCCUUCGCACAAUACCUUUGGGGGGAUCGAGGUUCGCGCAUCUGCAAGGAUGCUGGCGUAAUGGUCAUCAGUGGCCCGUCU
rnacentral:rRNA from 1 species